UACGUAGGGAGCGAGCGUUGUCCGGAAUUACUGGGUGUAAAGGGUGCGUAGGCGGAUCUACAAGUCAGUAGUGAAAACCAUGGGCUUAACCCAUGACGUGCUAUUGAAACUGCGGAUCUUGAGUGAAGUAGAGGCAGGCGGAAUUCCCGGUGUAGCGGUGAAAUGCGUAGAGAUCGGGAGGAACACCAGUGGCGAAGGCGGCCUGCUGGGCUUUAACUGACGCUGAGGCACGAAAGUGUGGGUAG
rnacentral:rRNA from 1 species